GUGUGUGCCUCUCCAUUCUUUCUCCAGACUCUGGGUCCUUGGUUUCCAAAUGAGAUGCAAAAGUUGCUCUCAUCAGAAAAGAGGACUUUGGACUACUGUGCAACAGACUAGUUCUGUUUUACUUUAGCCAGGAAUCAUCAUUUCUGGAAAAC